AUUCUGGUUGAUCCUGGCGGAGGUUACUGCUAUCGAGAUUCGACUAAGCCAUGCGAGUUGAAUGUCCUUACGGACAUGGCUGACUGCUCUGUAACACGUGGACAACUUACCCUUGGGUUCGGUAUAAUCCUGGGAAACUGGGGAUAAUUCCGGAUAGAUCACAGUGGCUGGAAUGCCUUGUGGUCCAAAGCUCCGGCGCCCAAGGAUAGGUCUGCGGCCUAUCAGGGUAGUAGUGGGUCUAAAGUACCUACUAGCCUACGACGGGUACGGGUUGUGAGAGCAAGAGCCCGGAGAUGGAUUCUGAGACACGAAUCCAGGCCCUACGGGGUGCAGCAGGCGCGAAACCUUUACAAUACGGGAAACCGUGAUAAGGGAAUCUCGAGUGCCAGCAUACAAUGUUGGCUGUCCAGGUGCCUAAAAAGCAUCUGUUAGCAAGGGCCGGGCAAGACCGGUGCCAGCCGCCGCGGUAACACCGGCGGCCCGAGUGGUAACCGCUAUUAUUGGGUCUAAAGGGUCUGUACCCGGCCAAGUAAGUCCCUUGGGAAAUCUGGCAGNUUAACUGUCA
rnacentral:rRNA from 1 species